rnacentral:rRNA from 1 species
ACGGGGGGGGCAAGCGUUGUUCGGAAUUACUGGGCGUAAAGGGCUCGUAGGCGGCCAACUAAGUCAGUUGUGAAAUCCUUCGGCUUAACCGGGGAAUUGCGUCUGAUACUGGAUGGCUUGAGUUUGGGAGAGGGAUGCGGAAUUCCAGGUGUAGCGGUGAAAUGCGUAGAUAUCUGGAGGAACACCGGUGGCGAAGGCGGCAUCCUGGACCGACAUUGACGCUGAACGGCGAAAGCUAGGGGAGCAAACGGGA